rnacentral:rRNA from 1 species
UACGAAGGGGGCUAGCGUUGCUCGGAAUUACUGGGCGUAAAGCGCACGUAGGCGGAUUGUUAAGUCGGGGGUGAAAUCCUGGAGCUCAACUCCAGAACUGCCUUUGAUACUGGAGAGCUUGAGUCCGGGAGAGGUGAGUGGAACUCCGAGUGUAGAGGUGAAAUUCGUAGAUAUUCGCAAGAACACCAGUGGCGAAGGCGGCUCACUGGCCCGAUACUGACGCUGAGGUGCGAAAGCGUGGGGAGCAAACAGG